GGUACAUAUAACAUCAGUUUAUCCAAAAGCCUCUGCUGGCUCAAAUGUUUAGGAUGCUAUAACAGAAUGAUAGGUUCCUUGUUUUCCUAGCUUGAGGAAGAUACACAUGCAUGCAUACAUUUUUAUUUGCAUGCCUGGUCUUUCACUAUGCUCACAUACAUAAAGUUCUCAUAGACCAAUAUUUUUUCACUUGUAUUUUCUCAGUAUUUACAUAAUGGUCCUUUAUUAGCCAGUCAGGAUCCUCCAUGCUUCACCAACUAACUAUGCUACAUUAGAUUAGAUACUUACUUUUUCUCAGUCUCAGUUGCUGUGUUUGUGAACACGAUGUGGAUGAGGUGGGUAAUCACUGAAGUUAUUGCAGUUCAAGACCUUCAUUCAUUCAGUAUGCAUAUAAAUGCAGAUGGUCUUCUGAGCACAGAACUUCAUUCAUUCAGUCUGCAUCUAUAUGCAGAUGGUCUUCUCUGCCUAGACUCUGAACAUCACUGAACUUCACGGUGACAAAGACAAAAUGACCUGUUCUUCUACUUUCAUGGAACAGCUGCUCUCUUUUUAAAGAAAAUUGAAGGGUAAAAUAAAUAUUUUAAGAGGCAAGUUAAUGUCAUGAGAGGAGUAUAGUAGACAGUGGUAGAGAGAAGCCAGAGCAAAAAUUAGAAUUGUAUUUUGGGAACCCGUUUAGAUAAUCCUUUAUUGAACGGGCAAAUGGUCAUGGUAAGACAUGACCAAGAAAAUGGGAAGCCAGUUUGAUGAUUUGGGAGGUGACAUUUGACAAAAUAAAAACAUUAUUGGAAAAUUUCGACACUUUAUUUUCUAUAGUACUAUUGUAUCAGAUAUUUAUAGCCACUUUCCAAAAUAGAUAAGAAAAGUAAAGUUGCUUUAAAGAAUAAAAAAAAAGUUCACUGUAUACGGAUUUAGAGCAUUUUCAUUUCCAGUUGCCCAUUUCAGACUGAAAAAAUAUAUACUGGCUUGAGGAUUUGAGGGUUAAAAGAAUCAAGAACCAAAUAAAUUUGAGUAAAAUGUUUGAAGAUUAUAAAACUAUUUGAUCUAAUGUGUUUACUAGGCAGAAAGGAAAACUGCAGCGCAGAAAAGAGAAAAGCUUUCAGAAUAGAUGAGUCCUCCCCCUUCUCGUCUUCCCUCCCUCCUUCCAUCCUUCCCUCCCUUCUUCCCCCAUUCUCUCCCUCCUUACCUCCCUUUCUCCCUCCCUACCUCCAUCCUUCUUCCUCCCUCCUUCAUUUGCAGUCUUCUUCCUUUCUAUCUUUCUUCCUCUCUCCUUCACCCCUUCCUCUCCCUUUUCUUUUUUCUUUAUGUGGUGAUAGGAUCACAUCCAAACCAUUGGAAAUCUAUUUAUAGUAUUCGAUCUUUUGUUACCCCCUUUGGGCUAUUUUUGCAUACUUUCUGCAUAUCAAUGUUUAGGGUUCCCCCCCCCCCCACUAUGUAUUUAUUUAGAUUAUCUAAGUCAAUUUUCAUUUUGCUAUUUCCUGUUGCUGAUUAUAGAGGUCUUGGUGUUUCAGGCAUCAUUUGUUCAUAUAUUCACAUCUAUUUUGUUGUCACUAAUAAUUCAUAUGGUAUGAAUUGUCCUCACUCUUUGGUAUCAUGAAAUGUAAUUGGAGCUCCAAAUAGAGAUAGAUAGAAAAUUAUUUUGGUCUUGGACUAUUGGGGUCUAUUAGAUGUGUAGUCAUUUGUUUAGAUCUCUAUCUUUGCUACAAUUUUUUCAGUCCAUUUAAAUAAAUACACUAAAUUCAAGGUGAUGUCAACACACCUUCAAUUCUAAUUCAGAAGACUGCCAAAUCUCUUUAUUAAAUUUCAGUACAAUAUGUAUUCCCUUUUCUAUCCAGAUUCUCUAUUUCUUUUCAAAAUGGCCAAAAGGAAGAAAAUAAAACAAUGUUUUGAACAUAUGGUGGAUCACAAAGAACCAUGUUACUGACUAGUUACAGAGUUGCACUGUUGCAAUUAUGUAUGCCAGAGCUUGGCCUAGACCUUCCUUUAAAUUUUUCAUUAAAUUCUUUAUGUAGAAUAAUUUGUUAAAAUAACUUGAAAUCAGAUUUGGUACUCAUUCUGGGCUUUUAUUUGUUUGUUUGUUUUGUUUUGUGUUGUUGUAGAAAGUGUAUUACUCUAUAACCAAGUAUCGUAGGUUUUUGCCAGCUUGACAAAACCUAGAUACAUCUGGGAGGAGGGGAAUCUCUGUUAAGGACUUGCCUCUAUCAUAUUGGCCUGUGGGUAUCUCUAUGGGCAAAUUUUCUUAAUUAGUUGUUGAUGUAGGAAGGUUCAUCCCACUGUGUAGAAUACCAUCCUUGGGCACAUGGAGCUGGCCUGUAGCAUGAAAGUUACCUAAGCAUGAGCCAAGAAACAAGCCAGUAAGCAGCAUUCCUCUAUGGUCUCUAGUUCAGGUCCUAGCUCUAGUUUCCUGACUUGAGUUCCUACUCUGGUAUUUCUCAAUGGUACACUGGGAUCUGGAAAUAUAAGCCAUACAAACCCUUCCUUCUCCUUUAUACAAAAACAGUGUUUUGUGGAGCUGGAGAAAUGACUUAGCACUUAAGAGCUCUUGCAGAGUAUUGGGGUUUCCAGACUCCAUGUUAGGUGAUUCAGAAUGGCUCAGACAUCCAGUUUGAGAGGAGAUCCUAGCCCCUGACCUCCACAGGCACCUUCAUGCACCUGGUGCAUAUAAACUCACCUAGGUAUAUACACAUAAACAAAAACAGAGAAAGAAAUCCUUUUAAAGUUUCAUUGAGAUGUUAACUCUCCCUUUUCAUCCCCUUAUAUCCUCUUCAGCCUUGUCCCUUUUCCACAGUCAUAGCUUUUAGUUUUUUAGUGACUCUAUCACUUAGGAAUACCUGGUACAAGCCCUUAAGCCCCUAAGAUAUAGAAAGUUGAAAUGACAUGUAUAACAUUAACCAAUAAUCUGAGUCAGCUCAUUAGAUAGUUUGAAUCCAGGGUUCUGAUUUUAAAAGAAAGAACUCUUCACAAUACAUAUACUUUAGGCUUUGCCUAGAUUUUAGUGAAAAAUCUGUCACUUGGUCUUCAACGCUGUAGUAGGUUUAACAAUUCCUGCCUAUCUCAAGAAGAGGGUUUAUCAUGUGCUUUCGGGAUGCAGGGGCAGAGUAUUUCAUUCUAACAUUCUGUACAGAUGAGAACAUGACAUGAAGACUAUGCAGAGAUGACAAGUUGCCUGUCCACACACAGAAGGCCUCACACUCUUGAAACUAAGCUCAUUUCCUCCAAGUUAAAAAGAAAGUUUCGCCUUUAAACUGCCUAAAAACUCAGUUGAGAAAGGUUGACCUUCUCAGUUCCCAUCAAGUAUUCUUUCUGGGUAGACAGAUUUCUAAAUGUACCAUUUAAUCUAUAAGAAUGAAUAUGAGAUGGUGAAUUCCUCUUUGGUAGGAGAAGAUGGUUAAAGGAGAGAGAGAUCAGUCUGUCUAGUAUAAGAUUCACUGUAAGCCAGUCCUUUAUUGUGCCUCAGUUCUUUCUCCUUCAUCCUGAGACAAAACCUUUUAUUU
rnacentral:lncRNA from 1 species